rnacentral:lncRNA from 1 species
AGCCUCUCUUGCUUCACACUGAUUAGUAUAAAUUAAAUAUAAUGGUAAUCAACCUCAGCAUUUAGCAUGUGGUAUGGAAAUCUAUGAUUUCCAUUGAUUGCGGUGAAAUUAUACGUAUGCUAUUUAUGCAAUAUGCAAAAAAUGCAAAAAUACUUUUUACUGCUAAUAGUUAUGUAUUGUGCAAUUAGGGCGCAUCCUUAAUCCUAAGAGGGUAUAGAGUAGUUCACAAAUUAUGACUUUAGUAUGACAACAGUUCUUAAAUGCCUGCUUAGCCUGAAGCACUGAAAUAGUUGCACUACUGUUAGUGUAAUUAUUCCUGAAAAUUUUUUGCUGCAUUUGGGAAUGUCAAUACCAACAACGCACAGUUAAUGUUGGAUAUCUUGAGUGUACCAGUAAUCUUGUUGAUGCUCAGCUGCACUUGUAGUUCCUUGCAAACUACUUGCAGACGCUCCUCCUACAACCUUCUUUCUCUAAGAUUGAGGAUGUUUCAACAGUCAUCUUCUUUAGUUUUAUAUCAGUUGUUUACUCUUCUUAAACCUUGGAAUUAGCUUCAUGGUUGGCUUCACGAAGCUCUUACCCCAAAGUUAAUCAGGAGAUAGAUAUUUACAUUUACACAACAAAACAAAAUUAUUUUGUUAAAUGAAGGUGAAAAUGUGAAGUGUGAAGUAUGGAUCUUUUCUGCUCUGCUUUAGUAAGAAAUCAUGUGAAUCUCAGAUUGCUAUGGUCUUGAUCAUUCCUAGAAGAUGUAUGUAUAUUUACAAGUCAAGCAAUAUUUCCACAUUGAUGCUCUCAUAAGUGUCUUUUUUUAAACGAGGUUUUAGUUUAGCUGCAAAUCCAUCACUGUAAUUCAGAUAAGUCAUUUAAUUGCUGAUAUAAAAGCUUUUCCACUAAUGCUUGUUUUUCAUUUCUUUCAAAAUACGUUUUCCCCUUACAUACAAUAAUAACUGUUAACUCAGCAGGUAGACUACUCUAAAGUCUAAAACAAGUGUAUCUUUAAAUAAAGCUAAGAGAAUUCUAAGAGCAACAAAGCAAAUGAAGCUGUGCAUUAGCUGUAGGAAAAUGGUGAAGGAAUGUCACAAUACACAGUUGCUACAACCACUUAGAAAACCCUCUAGACAGGUGAAGGACUAGGAAAAUGAGUACAAAUUGAGGGAAAGCAGAAAAAUAAGAUAUUAAAACCCUAGGAGAGCCCUUGUCAAGAAUAAAAUCUACAGAAUGUAAUACUAACAUAUUAAAGAUGCAUAGUGCCUUCUAGCUUCUCAGUCUGAGGUACUUUGCAAACUGCUGGUGACACUGCUAAAAAGACAUUCACACACAAGUGGCAGCUUUGUAAGACACCAGUAGGUAGAAAAGACAAAUGUUUCUCUACCAAAACUGGAAACUGAGCAAAAUAUGAGAGCCAUUUCCUUUAUGUGAACUGAAGAGAGUCCAAACAGACUGAGUUUGGAAAUUAACCCACUGCUGAAGAAUUUCCUACUCAAAUAUUGCAUUAAAUAAGAACAUAAGGUAUCAAAUAUUUCCUGUUUUGUACUUGUGAUUUGUAAGCUUGAAAUCAAAUUGUGUAAAAUGAAGUGUUGGAAUUUGAUUGAACAUUUUUCUUUCCUGAAAUUAGUGUUAAUUCAUUUGACUUGACUUAAUAUAAACUUCAUUUUCAGUUUCAGAUGCUAAGGAUAUGGAUUAAAAAUUAUAUACAAACAUGCAUCUUGUCAGAAAAAAAUCAGAAACCAAAGAAAAGUAAUUUUACUGAUGAAAGUUAUGUGGAAAUUUGGAGCGGGUCAUAUCCUGUACCUUGUUUUUGUAUAUUUUUUUUACACUUUCUUUGGUGAUGUUGUUAUGAAAGGACUCUUGGAAAUCUCUUUGGAAAAGUGUGAGAGUCAUCUCUCAGCUUUUUGCACAUUGUACCUGUCACCUAUAUAUUUGAAAAAUCAACAGAACAGAAAUGUACCUUCCUCUAGAGGACAGAUUUUUUCAUUAUUAUUUUUAUCUUAAUUUUUGUAUGCUUUUUUUAUGCUUAUACUGGUGAAACUAUGUGUCUUUAAACUAUGAUUAAACCUAGCAUUAGUAUCUGCAGUUGGGAAUUCAUGUACUAGAUAGGUCUGUUUAUUGAAGAGUCUUGAAAAGCUACUGGGGUUGAUAUGAAAGGAAUUACUUAAGAAUUCUAUUAGUUUUCUUUCAGUUAUUAGAACUAAAAAGGUUAUUGGUUCCAGAUCAAAUUCAGAUCCUUUGAGCUCUUAUAAAAGCUAGGGUUAGGGCUGAAGUGCAGGGUUAGAAGAACUACAUUUCUUUUUGUUGGUACGUUAGAUUUUGGAUGAGUGUUGAUAUGGCAACAGUUGACUUUCUGAAGGUGUAGUAGUUGACUUUUGCUUUUACUAUCUAGAAAACAUAUAAGGUCCUGGUCUUAUUGAAAUUUUAUUGUGUAUUUUUCAGGGUCUGGGGGAAGAACACAAAUGUUUGGAUAAACAGUUUCUCGUUUUGGUUGCAAGGAUCAUUGCUGUUUUAUUAAGCUUGCAUCAGGGGUACGGGAGAAAAGACUAAAAAUAGACAUGUCUGCUAAUCAUGUAGUAUAGAGAUAAAUAUGAAAACAGACUGGAUAACUUCAUAUUCAUUUUGACGCAGUAGAAUGGGCAAUGGACUCUGGUUAAAUGCAGGAUUAUGGUUAGCAUCAGAACACAGGAAAUCAGUGACCAAGUUGCCUUCUUUAUUGUAGGACUGUCCAAAGCAUUGAGUCCUAGUUCUUGUGUCAGAGGAAUAAGUGUCCUAUAUUCAAUAUUUAUGGGUUGGCUUUUUUUUUUUUCUUUUUUCUGAAGGUGGGGGUCACAAGAGGUAGAAAGAGAUGGAUGUAGGUAGGAGAUGAGGAAAUGAAAAAUCUAGAAGCUCAGUUUACUGAUCAAUGCCAGGAGAAAUGUAAAAAGCAAACAUUAUUAUUCACUGAGGUGAAAACUUGAACCAGAAAACUGUAGUUAAAUCUACAGUUAGAAUUAAAGCUCUGAAGGGCGUUUAUUUAUGGACUCAGUGAGUAUUUCAUAAAACAGUAAUGUUCAACUAAGCUAAUGUGGAAUAAGAAGUAUGCCCGUGUUAUUUUUUUUUCUUCUAGAAGACAGAAUCACCACAAGGAGAGAUAACAUCUUUAAAAUCCUGCUGAUUUUUCAACAGAAAGAUAAAUAGUACAUAAAUGCUGAUAAAAAGGCAACUUGAGUAGGUUGCUUAAUCCACUAGUUCAACAAAUGAAUUUGUUUCUACCCUAAGAGAAAUAGGACUAUAAGCAUAGCACCUGGAUAUACUCUUGAGGUGACUUAGAAAGAAGUGGUUGUUUCAGCUCACCCCUGAAUGACAGUGUUGUGUACGGGCUCACUUAAAACAGUGAACUUGAUGUCUUGCAGCUGUGUCAGUGUUACUGUCACUGUACACAUGUUAGCAUUCAUAACAAGUGGCUGCCAGUAAAGAAAAUGAUUGGAGCGAGGAUUGACACUGCAUGUCUAUGUAAUUAGCAAAGGUGAUGGAAACACAAGUGAAAGUGUAAGCUCAGAGUUCAUGCUUGAAGGCUGGUACACUUGGAAAAGAUCCCUCGUGUGUGAAGAUGUUCUUUGGAAUGCCUUAGUAGCAAAUGCCGUGGGACUUUUUUUUCCCCAUUCAGAAAUGAAAAAUGUCACUGUAGUUGCCAGACCUUUGAUCACUCUUUGCUGUGAUCAUUUCUGGGCUUGCAGUGCUCCUACACAGAUGGUAAAAUAGGCUGAUGUGAUAUAUCUCCUAAAUGACAGUAUUUUUUACGCAAGGAAGAUGCAUAGUGUGCCUCUGUGAGGAUUAUCUAUGUUGCUACUGCAUGAGGUUCAGGUGGUGAUUUGGACGCCUUUUUUUUUUUUUUUUUCUCCUUUCUUUGGAAUUGGUGUGCAUACAGGAGGGGGAAGACUAAUACCACCAUUAUAUGAAGGGCUAUGAUUUAAAUAGAGACAUUGUAAGUUACAAACAUGACAUCUGCCUUUCUUGGCAAGAGAACUGAGAACCUGGAAUGAGAAUGUUCUGGAACUAUGGGGAUUCAAUUCAGAACAAGGUCAGAAACAUAAAAGCAAAUUACAUAGGCUGGUCUGAACAUUAUUUUUCAUUAAAAAUCAGUGUCCGUGCUUACUCUUAGAUGCAGUAUUAUGACCAUAUGUUAGGACUAAAGAAAAACAAAAUACAUUUGGAAAUUGCCAUUGAUCUUUAAUGAGUGUGCUGUCUGUGAUUUAAUGAAGCGUACAGCUUGUCCAGUUCAUGAAGUGGAAUGGAUUUUCACUGGGGACAUGCUGACAUGGCAAAUGCUUGGUACAUUUUAGCUUGUCUAUUGUCAUUUUUAAGGUAUGGUUUAUUGCCACAUUUAAGAUGAUUUGACCUCCAUAAUGCAGCAACGUGACAAGUGGAAAAGAAUUCCUGGUGAAAGGAAAAUUUGACUAAUUAUUAUAGCAUUACUGUUAUUGAUGAUUCAUUUUAAACUGCAUGUUGUUAUUUUUACAUGAGAAUGAGAUGUGAGAAUGAGGUUAUCAUUGGUAAUUUUCUGUGUAACAAAAUGGUAACGUCUAUUCAUGGGAUAAGCAUUUUAAAAAAUGUUGGAAUGAGUGGUACAAAAUUACACCGUCAAUCAGAUAGUUCAGGUUUUUCAAGUUUCUGAAUGUUUACCAAGUUUCUGAGUAUUUUAAUUCCAUGGAAAUCUGGUAAUUACAUUUUUGUAAUUUUUGGAAUUCCAAUUUUCACACAGAUUUCACUGUGAAUGAUCAAGCACAUGGAAGAAGUCUAAGGUGAAGUAGGAACAACCACAGUUGUUUACUCAUACACUGAUGUCACAAAAUCACUAACAUAAGUAACAACAAGAAAACAAAUAACGUAAAACAACAACAAAGUGUGUGGGGGGAAUUUUCCUGAUUGUCACUGGUGGCAGCUGAGAUAGUGGGUGAUGCAGAACACUCCCUCUGCCUUAUGUCUGCAAGAGAGCUCCAUAGGCAUUGUGAGCAGAACCCCACGUGCUAAAUGAGCGAGUCCAUUAUCAUCAUUUUCACUUCAGCCACUUUUUGCGAGGCUGAGGCCAAGUGCUGUGCUCAGCAAAAGAGAAAAGUACAUAUUUUGUCAGCUGAAUAUGCAGGAGUUUGAUAGGUUUUGUACAUGCAGUGAACUUACAGUGUUAGCCAGUUUUUAUUGCAUUAUUUUUGCAAAAGCAAUCAAUUGUACAUGUCAUAAGCUGAGUGAAGAUUUGGCUAAUACUAGUAUGUUUCUUAGAAUUAGUGAGCAGCUGAAAUUUGAUAUAUUUCAAAACAUAAAGGAGCAUCACAGUAUGUCACUGAGAUUAAAACAAACAAAAAACAAAAACAAACAAAAAAACUCAAAUGCUGCUGAAUCUUUCACUUUUCCCAUUGUGUAUCAGAUGAUUUUUAAAAUUAUUUUUUAACUCCUCAAAUGUAGAUGUCUUUCAUGAUCUUUGCUUUUGAUAUCUGUUUCUUUUAUUUCCAGAAACUAAAGUAUGUGCUGAAAGAGAAGUACUAGUUUUCUGUUAUCUUAUAUCUUUCUCUACACAUCAUUGUCAGCACAUUGAUUAGGUCGACUUUUGACCAAACCCAUUACAGAUGUUCAUAAAUGUUUGCAUUAUGUUAUAUUUGUAAAUCUACAUUCCACUAUAAAAGUGAACUAAAACUGCACUCAAGUGUUAAGCUUCUUUUCUUUACUGGAUGCAGGAAUUUCUAUGACAUCCAAGAUCUUUGAAAAUACAAUAUUUUCAGAAGCCUGAGAUUUUGCAAAUAUAUAUGCAAUUGUAUUUCUCCCCUACCUCAUUUAACUUAUUGAAUAUUGAAUUCUGGGACUAGAACUGAGUCUUUAUUUUAAUUUUCAUAUUAAUCAUGAGCCCGAGUAGACAGCCUUGUCUGUCAGAAUUGACAGCUCCCAGGUUUUUCCUCACCUAAUGUGCAAAGCCUGAAGAUGAUGAACAGACAUGACAAAAAGUUGGAGCUCAUUUUUAAGCAGCAUACAACUGUCACUGAUUUUAGGUAUUAUUUAUUGCAGUAGGCAAUCCCAUUCCAAAUAGCUACUGUAUUAAGAAUUCACUGUUUUACACUGGUAGAUAAGAAAAAACGAAUAGAAAGUACUGUACAAUGUAUAUUCUGUUAAUAUAAAAAAUUAAGCACUGAAUUGACAACCAAGGCUAAGUUCCAUUUUCAAACCGUAAAGUCUUACAGGUGUGUAAGACAAACUUGAAAAUGGAAUUUAAUCCCCUAAGCUAUUGAAAACUGCUCUUAGCCUUACAAUAACCUCAAGCAAAGGGACUGUGCUUGUGUGUCAAGUUAGGCAUACGCAUAAUUCUUCUGCAGAAUCAAGGUCUUAAAUUUGUCACCUUAAAUAGCACUGGCCUAUUUUACAUGCAGCCAUUUAACUGACUCUUUGUUCAAAUCUCCUCUCUGCAGAAGUUCUGAGCAGUUCUUUGCAGUCCAGGUGCACAAGUGACCUCAAAGUAAAGAAGGGAAAAAUACUUGAUGAUGAGAGGAAACAGGAGGAAGAGGGGAACAGAAAAAGGGAAGUAGAAAAUUAAACAAGAUAACUGUGCUUCCAAUAGUCUCUCUCUAUUUUAAAACCUGAUUAAAGUUUUCAAAAUUAGAUGCCAAUAAUUGAAAACUAGAGGCUUUGAAAAUUUGAAACUGAAAUUUCAAUUUGAAAAUUGAAAACUGAAAACUUCCAGUUGCAGAGAAUCUUCAUCUCCCAUUGACAUCUGCAUUUGUUUGAUCUGUGUUUUUUUCCGUAUCAGAAAGAACAUGGUCAACUAGUUACAUACUCUUGGAAAUUGUGCUCAUAGACAAUAACACAAGUCCUUAUAAUAUUUUUAUUUUUAAGAUUUUUUUUUAAGUGUUCUAUUUGUCUUGUUGCUUUAUGCACUGACAUACGUUGCAUUCUGUUUGUUCAGCUGUCAUGUAAAUACCCAAGCUGUAUUAUCACACAUCAAAAUAACAUCCUAAUUGACAGGUUAGUGCUGUUCUCUGGGUAUAUGUGUUAUGCCCAUUUGACUGUUAAUUAUUGUAAAUUGCAAAGAACCAUUAAUACUACUCAAGGUUUUAGAGGAGGGCAAGACUGUAACGACAUGCUGUUGAAGUAGAAGAGUAGUGCUGAACGUUGAUAGUGAUGAUGGUCAGGUCAAGGCUUCUCUGCUUCUAGUGCUUACAGCAGAAGCUACAGAGGUAAGAUUUGUUUUCACUUACUUCUUAACAGUUGCGGUGUUGUGAGGACUUCUUUCCUUUAACACGCUGACCCUUUGGAAGUCUGGCAGAAUUCAGUUUAUUUUCUCCUCAAGAAAAGAAGCAGGGUAGUUUUGCUCUACUGCAUGUAUGUUGCCUGCACAGGUUCUUAAUAUGCAAGUAAUAAACACUUGUGUUAACUGUUGAUUUGUUACAUCAUCCUAAUUUUACCAGAGAUUGUCCAAGUUGAUGAAAUCUGUAGCGAGGAAUGACAGGAUGUGCUUUGCAUAUAUCCCAUACCAUGUAUAUCUAUGUACAUGCCUCUGUUGGUGGAUUCCUUAUGGUGACCAAUUCCUUAUGGUUUUCAGACAUGUUCUGUACAUAGCUAUCAAGCUUAUAAAGCAAUGCUGACUUUCAUUUUCUGAGUAGAUGUUUCCCCGCUGUCAAAAGCCACUGGAAAGAAUGAUGGAUGAUGAUGAUUCAGAGCUUAUCUUUAUUUGUAAUACCUUUCGAGAUUCAAAAAGAAGUGCUGUACAGCAUAGAAUAAAGUUAUGGCUGCGUGUGAGAUUUUCAUAUCACAAAGUUCUUCUCACUGUCUAGAUUUAAAAAUAUUUUAAUUCUGUAUUUCUUAGACGCAUUGAAAUAGUUGUCAAGAAGAAUCUAGGUAAAUAAAACUGCUCAGUGUCAAUGUGUAACUCUGGUAAUAAUCCUGGUUAUCCAUAGACAUUGUUUGCAAUUACAGUUGCAGCUAGCAGUUCUGCACAACUGUUCAUAAUUGCUCUGUUCCACACCUUAGUUUCAGACCAGAAGUUAUCAAGUUGCAAUUUUUGUAGCAUGAUGUAUAACUGAACCUCAGGUUAUCCACUGUCAAGCAACUAGAGUUGUAUUUUUUAUUACGUUUUGGGUCUUGCAGGUAGCUGGGAUUUUGAAAAUAAAACACUGCAUAAGACCACUGUUCUUACUGGCUCGUCAGAACAGACUGCGAUGGAUAGGUGAUACUGUGUUUUCUUCUUGCAGUGUGCUUAAGUGUAACACAAAUAAUAAGAUGAGUCUUCUUCCAAGGAGCUUGUGAUCUUAUUUAUUAGCUGUAUUAAAUCCUAGUAAUAGAGUGGUAGGAGGUCCAUUUGGCAACAAAAAACUAACUCAAGAAAUAUAGGUGCUUUAGCCAAACUUUAUAGACCCAGUCAUGCAAAGAGAGUGAAAUUGUAUAUAAUGCAAUUGAUUGCUUCACAAAGUACUUACCUUGAAGCUCUUUUUUCUUGUUAGUGUUUUGGAAAGUCAUACUGUAGUUUGAAGGAUCAUCACGUAAGCUAGAGUAGCCUUCUGCAGAAUAAUAUAAGCAAUUUAAAUUUAGUUAAUACAAUUGUGAAUUAUGAGGCAUUUAUUAACUUUCCUUCCCUGCAUUCUGUCUGCAACUGUAUAAUGCAAUUUCAAACGCUGCUUUGACAUUGCCAAUUUUGAUUCUGCAUUGAUGACUUUUCUGGUUUGUCCUGUAGGGGCGAAAGAAAAGCUUGGCAGUGUAAGACACUUUCCAUUCCUCAGAGAAAAACUCAUCAAAACUAAAUACAAAUAAUUACUGGGCAAAGUUUGUCUGUCUUUGAAUCAUAUACAAACUGUCGUACUAGCUCCAGAAAAUAGCAAACUGACAAUCUUAGAGUAAAUAAAAUUAAAAGUUUGCCAGUAAAGCUUAUCGCUGUUUUGUACUGUGAUGGAGACAUUAGCCUCUUGUCUCCUCAUAAUGAUAUCAGGAACAGGUACUACUUUAAUUUGACAUAUCAUUUUGAGAAUAGAUUAGCGUGAUUUCUUUUGGACUGCAUUAUUACUGGUUUGCUAAGAAUCAAAUACAAGCCAUUUAGUUUCUGUAUGCUCUCAGUUAUGCUGAAGUAAUGUCACAAGUCAGUAAAGUCCUGAAUUUUACUGACACCAUUAAUAAAUAAAAAAUAAAAUCAAAACCAACCAAAAAGCUAAACAACACAAGCAAACAACAACAACUACAAAACCCUAUACAUUUCAUUUGAAGAGAAGCCUUCAAAUUUUUUCUCAUUUUGGCCUAUAUUUCUCACUCCUUGUUUAGGAACCAAAGCAUUUAUGUUGCUCUUUGUCAUUUAACCCAGCAAGCAGCUGGACACCGCAUAACCUCCCAGUGGGAUGAGGGAGAGAACCAGAGAGGGGAAAAACAAACAAACAAACAAACCUAAUCAGUUGAGAUAAACAAACAAACCUAAUCAGUUGAGAUAAAAACUAUUUACUGAGACAGAAAAGGAAGAGAGAAAUAACAAUAAUUAUAAUUAUGCACACACUUGCACAUAUAGGUCACUCCAAAAGUAAUGCCUCCUAUUUAUUUCCACAGAAGCUACAACAGAUAUAAAGAGUGCAGUGACACUGUUUGAUAGAGCAAAUUCUCAGCUACAAAACUGUAUGGUAUUGCUUAGCAAAAGCUGCAGUGUAUUAUCAAAAUUGUUUUUCUUCUAAAGCCAGAACAUACUAGGGCUGCGUUUAUUGUCCUGCAAUACCAAAACGGAUGUUGGCGGGGCAGGGGGAGCACAUGUGAUUUACCUGGUGUCUCAUAGCAGCAAGAGCAUUAGCUGCAGAGAGGCUAAGAGGUCAUACUCACUGCUUUUCCAUUCAGUAUUCUGCAGUUGUGGUUUUGAAGGAAAGAAGAGUCUGGUUUUUCUGAAAAUCAUGAUCUCAGGGUGAAAAUGAGAGUAGAAAAACUGGAGUAAAGUAUGGCGUGGCACACAGGUUACGCAAGUUUAGAAUAAACAUGAUAGAAAUCAAAUGAGUAAAACUAGCCAAGCAUGUUUCCUUUCUAAGCAUACGUUGCUAGCAAAGUGAAUUUACAAGAUCAAUGCUAAAGUAGUAUCACUUUACAAUCUAAAUAGAAAGUGCCCACUGUCAGCUUCUAUCAGAAGUUCACCUUAAGAGUCUUCUGUACUGAACUUUCCUUACGAGAUGGUAGUAUUAUCAACGAAAACAGGGAUUUUUCAAUUUUUGGUAGCCAAAGUGUUGUAUGUGGUUGUUCAACUAGACUGUAAAUCAAACUGAGAUAUUAGACAAACAAGCACAUGAAACUCUCUGUAUUACUGACAACAUCCUGUUGAAGUGGUAACCAUGACCAUUUUAGUUGUGGAUUUUUCUCAUAUAAGUCAUGCAUAAUCUACAGCAGUUAUCACUAAAGCCAGUGAAAGUAUGAAGAGGUACUGCUGGAGAAGAUCUGAGUAAUGCUGGAAGGAAUAGAGCUGCUCAGUGAGAAGCAAAUAUCUAGAGUAGAUAAUGAUAAUCUGUUCACGCUCUUUAGGAUGCACUUUAAUCUUCAAAGAUUAGUUUAUAACCACAAGUCUUGUACACAGUGACCCUUUCAGCUUUAUUUUUCUAUAGCCCUUGUGCAUUUUGAACUGUAUUUUCAUUUCUUUUCUAGAACUGCUAACUUGGUGUUGUUUAUUACUUUCAUUUUAAGCAGAGUACUUUCAAAUAUCUGUAAGGGCUGAAACAUCUUUAAAGCUGGAAAGGGAAAGCAUAUUCAAGACUGUACACUUCUCAUUUUAUUCAUUCUCUAUCCUUUUAAAUGGAAAAUUACACAACCCCUUCAAAAGCAGCCUAUGUGAAGCACCAGAUCAAAUUGAAAGUGUCAUCACAGUUUAGAUGCUUGAGUUUCUAUUUUUGAUUGGCCCGGUCUCACACUAUAACUUCAUAGCUAUAGGCCAACAAAUUUCAAAUUCCAUCUUUUUUGUAGUGGAUAUUUUUCACUCUUUUUUUUUUUUUCUUUAUUUUUCUCCAUGGGAAAAAAAUAUUUUCGUAAGGAGGACUGCAGAAAAUGACUUCCAGUUAUUUAAAUGAAGUUCCCCCAAACUACAGGUAUGGUUCUGGCUCUGCAGAGUUGAAUUUUACCUACAAUGUAUGUGUGACAGAAUAGAAACUAGUAAUUUGUGUAGACUCAUGUUUACUUGAAAUUCGUAACAGCGGCUGUGAAGAUUCUUCUUCCUAUUAUCAAACAAAGGUUUUAUAUUCAAUUCAUAAAAUUUGAGGGGUUUUCUAAACCUUUCAAAAGUAAAUGAAGAGCCAGACACCUUCCAUGGGUGAUUUGUCUUUUUUAUUGAUUCAACUUUCUUAUUUAUGUUUAAAGAGAAAUAAACCCUUCAGAGAUUCCUCUUUUUUUUCAGUUGACUACAAUGAAGUAUCUAUGUGAGUUAAUUAGAUAUAAACAAAUAGCUCUUUUGCAUCUAACUGUUUAAGUCUGUUUAAGUUAUGUUGCUUUGUCCCUCACUUCUUGAAGUCUGCCUUUGACAUGAUACCACUGUCCUGAAAGUGAGAGUGCAAACAGCAUUUGCAUUGCAUUUGCAAGCUUAACAAUCUUGGGAGAAAAAUGGUAUAAAAGUACAAUGUGUUUUUAUUCUUAUCUGACUUCGGACUCUGUAGCAUUAAAUUUCGUUCUGUUCUCUUAAAAAAAUAGAGAGCUUUCAUAUGUAUAACAGCCAUUUUAAAUCCCAAAUUUUAUCCAAAGUUUCUGAAGUCUCCUGGGAAAAUGUUUUUGGAUAGCUCCUUAAAAUCACAAAUAGUGUGGAAAAAUGCUGAGUUUUUUUAAUCAUAACUUUUUAAUGUCAAUUUUCUUGACAGGCAAGGGGGAAAAAAUCUGAAAAUGGACUUUUAAAAUUUUGGGUAAAUUGUUAUUUUAGGUCUCUUAUAUUUUAGGUCUAUCUCUUAUAUGCAGUCACAUGCAACAUUUUGCAUUUUCAAUUUUUACUGUAAGUUUAUAGAAUCAUAGAAUCAUAGAAUUGCUAAGGUUGAAAAGACCCACAGGAUCAUCCAGUCCAACCAUUCGCCCAUCACCAAUGGUUCUCGCUAAACCAUGUCCCUCAACACAACAUCCAAAUGCUCUUUGAACACCACCAGGCUCGAUGACUCCACCACCUCUCUGGGCAGCCCAUUCCAGUGCCUGACCACCCUUUCAGAGUAGUAGUAUUUCCUAACGUCCAGCCUGAAUCUUCCCUGACGCAGCUUGAAGCCAUUCCCUCUAGUCCUAUCACUAGUCACAUGAGUUCAUUAAAACAAAUUGAAUUAGUGUAUUUUUCUUCUCUCAUUGUGUGCUUUUUCAGAGAUAGUAAUAAUUUAUUUUCUAAUGCCAUGUCUAUUCUAUCAGUUCGUUACUAAAUGCACAUAUAUAUAUAUAAAUUUAAGGCCAGCUAACUGUUGCACUUACAGCAUACAGACCUUUUAGCCCUGGGAAAGCUCAUAUAAAAAAACCUAGAAAAGCAGUUUAUAACUGUCAUCAAAUGAGUUAAUGUAGCUGUUUUCACGUGGUUGUUCAUUUUUUCAGAGAGUAGAGAAGGGCACUGUAAUGGUUGUCUUCAAGUCCAAAUGCCUUGCAAUUUAGCUAAGCAAGAGGUUAUUGUUUAGCUAAAGAAAGAACACGGUUAUAUUGAUGUGCAUAUAGCUACAUGUAGCUUUAAUGAGACAUGAAAGUUACUAUAUUAUUUAUUUUUAUGUCACUCUUCACUGAUUCCACCUUGAUUGAUCAGAUAUCAGUGUGACACAUCAAAAAUACAAAAGCAGACCAAGAGAUUGUGUAUGUUAUCACCAUGAUGUGUAUAUAACCUCCAGUGAAUUAGAUGCUAAUGGAAACACUAGAAUAUCCUUUCAAUACUUAUAGUCCAUGUAUCUUCACUAUGAGCAUAUGACCAGGAAGAAAUAUAGUAGCUUUUGCAGACUUUAGUACUCACUGGUGAUCAGCUAAUGGAUUGCACUGCUAUAGACAAUUUAUGAACAAUAAGACUGUUAGCUUAAGGAGCUCAACUAAGCAUUAUCAAUGGACGUAUUUAAUGCUUCAGGCUUAGCAGGUGUUUUACUAGCUAAAGUGUGAUAAGGCUAAGAAGGAUAAGAUUCCUUUUCCUGCUUUGUUAAAUGUGGUCCUAAAAGCACAAAAAAUAAUAUGCUUUUUGCAUUUUUUUCUUUGUAAGAUAAAAGAUUUCACAUAGCAAGAAAUGUUUGACAAAAAUAUGUAUUUGAUGCAUCAAUUUAGCUUAUGUGAGUUAAUGUCCGUCUCCCAUUGUUCUCCCCACCCAAAUUAAUAUGCCACUGAUGAUGUCAUUUAUCUAGUAGUAUUUGAUUACCUCUUAGAGUAGUAGUGAUCAUAUCUGAUAGCUGAUCCUUAUAUCCAUGCAUGUUUAUGACUUUUUUUUCUUCCAAGAAGAGAGUAGCAGUAUAGUUCUGGGUGGAUUUCCCUGUAGGGCAGGUUUUAUAGACAUAUAAAUACAAUGAAUUUUGCACUAGGAAAACUAUGUUUUGUUUCAGCAGAUGCAUUUGUCUCCCAUAACUUCAACCUGUCCUUACUGUAGAAUCUGUUAGGGAGAUUUACUUCUCUCUUGGACAGAGAAGAUUCUGUCGAUGGUUUAAGGGCUGGUCCGGCCUGGUUCCGUGACUAGUGGGGCGGAGGGAUUUCACAAAAUCCGCGCCUCCAGGAAGGGAAACAGGGGACCCCAAAAUAAUUAAAAACAGCGGCAACGAUCUGAGGAGAAACAAACUGAUUUACUAAAUAUAGUAUCGUAAUGUAAGAUAACGCACUGUAAUACAAUAUAAAUCAAAAACAAUUGAGAGAGAGAUUGUCCGAGAGCCAAAGGCCUUACACUAAUACUAAAGCCUUGCAUGCAGUUGGGAGCAGCAGUAGUGAGCCGAUCUGACAGGGAACACAGCGAGACGAGAAGAGGGACGAGUCAGAUGACCUGCACCCGUAUAUCUGUUCCCUUGAGCAGGAAUAAUAACAGUACUCGAAAAGGCUCUUGGGGAACGUAGUUCUUCUUCUCUUCCAGACAGGUACCCGAACUAAAGCAUUUGCUCUUUAACUCCCAGUACACUGCAUGAUGUUGUGAUGUGGAAUACUGAUAACCAAAAAUCAUAGAACCAUGACGGAUUCAUGAACACAUGUGUGCCCAUACAUUCUACAGGCUAACAUCUGCAUUUUUAAGACUGGUGCAGAAUGCUGAUAUUCACAGAAGUUUUGCAAUCAGGUUAGCUUAUUUUUUGUAAUGUGUGUCUUGCUCAAGUUUUUUUUGUCUGUAUGUACAUUAGCAAAAUACUCCCUUCCUAAGCUGGAGUGAUUGUUGACUCACAGACAGUGAAGCUCACUGAUGUGACUUGUAAAUAGUCCAAACUGAACUUACUUAGUUUCUUCAAAAAUAAUACUUGAAGUAAAUUUGUAAAGAUCUUACGAAUCAAGCAGUGAAUAAGGUCUUAUUAACAACAUUUAGCUGUCAUUGAACUCAUUCCAAAAAUCUAAAUAUCCUACAGAGGUGGUUAAAAUUUUAGGAAAACUUUGUGAUGCAGCCCAUGGUUGAGUGGACUGAGUGGAUUAUUUUUUUUCCCCAGAAACUGAUUAUCAUAAGAUUUUAUGCAUUCAGCUCACCUCUAUUUAAAUAGUGCUAUGAAGUUUUUAGUGUUCCUACAUCACUGCUUGAAGGUCAAUAAAAAGAUCAGAUAAAAGAUGACUUUUACUUACCUUCAUCUUCAGACAUAUUAUGUAAAUCUGACAUUAAGAUGUGCUUUCUCAUAGAAUAUCCAAAUAUUCCCGUGUAUUUCUUAAUAUACUUUAAGCUGGGAACUCCCUAUUUUCUUCACCUGUAAAUUUAUUUCACAUGGUGGUCAUUGCCACAGCAGACUGAAAAAUAGAGGCAUCUUUGAGGCAGGAUGUUGUUCCUUUAAAAAUAACAGUGAAAAAGCUCUGCUGUGUUGGCAAAUCAUGUUAUAGAAGAAUAUUCACCUAUGUGCUAUGUAUUCUAUAUCAGACUUUGGAAGAAGAAAUGUUUCGGAAGACAAAGAGAGAAGUAUUGAAAUUGAAAAUCACUGAAAUGAGAAAUAUACAUGUAUAUAUAACAGAGUUAGGAAGGGAGAAAAUAGAAACUCUUUCAUUAUUACAAAUUUACUGGGAUGAAAUAUGUCGAUCCUAUUAGAUGCAGAAAAGAGUUUUCAUUAAUACCAGAGGGACCAGAAUUUUCCUUGUGUGCUGUUCCCCUGCACUUCUUCUCCUCACUACCCUUUCAUCCCUCCAGGCUUUGAUCUGCUUAGGGUAGAUAUUUUAGGGAGUGAUGCAGCUAUAAGCAAAAGAAAACCAGUGCAUUUAUAGAAUAUUACUGUUCUCUGCAAUUAUUUCUUUGCAGCCACUGUCACUGGCAAAGUGACGCCUGCUUUGGUGGUUACUGACACUAGGUUAAACUGUUGUGUACUCUUCUAUUGACUAAUACCAGAUUAACACAUCUCAGCCAAUGUGAACCUGACAUCAAUUGCACCAUUCUGGAAAGCUUUCCUUCUGUUUAUCUCAAUCUGAAAUUAAAACAUAUCUGGAUUUAUGUCAGUUUCUUAUAAAAAUCCUCUGCUAAUACUCUUUGACUUCUUCAGAUGCACCUGUUGCUGUCGAUGUGCCACUCACACAGUCAGCUUGUACCACAUUUAAACCCUUUCAUACAAAACAAGGACUUGCCUUAAAUUAGAUAACUAAGGGUAAACUUUCAUCUUAGUUAAGCUUGUGUAAAUUCAGACAGAUUUUUUUUCAGGUAUUUUUGCUAUUCAUAGUUCACUCUAUAUCAAAAAGCCCCAUGCCUAUCAUGUCACUCAGUUGUUUUUCUUGUUUGGCAGAAAGGUUCCAAAGCAGAUGUAGUACCUGAAACUACUCUUAAUUCAAUUGUUAAUUCACUUGUUAAUUCAAUUCUUAAUUCAAUUUAAUUUCUUUACAAUUGUAAGAACUUCUAUAAGCAUUUAUACUAAGUGGUGUAUACAUCCUGUGUAGAAAGUAUUAAAGUACCAUAUAAAAUACUAAAGAUUCUGCAUGGAUGUCCCACAGCUGGCAGGAUAAUAUUUAUCUUUUCUGCUUUUUAUGUGAUGCUGCACAUCUGAAGCUUGUAUGUGAUUGUCUUAGACCAUUGACACCACUCUGAGAGAAUUAACUGGGACAGAGCAUCAAUCAAAAAGCAAAGACUGAAAUAAAAUCCUUACUUUGUCACUAUUAUUCUCAAGCUUGGCUUGCUGGCAAAGUCCUGUAAGAAUAGAAAAUUAUCUGUCUUGUCCUCUAUGAGGGUGUUUUGAAAUUACAGUUCUUGCUCCAUUACUACGAAUAUGAAUGCCUACCUGACAAUAUAUCCCAUUCCCAUAAUCUCUGUGGACAGGGAGUUGUAAUUCUGUAUUAUUACUGUGGGUUACGCCAAUUGAAACUUUGAACCAGAUAAAAGCAUCUGCUUUGUGGCAUGUUUCCUGUCUAAUGCUGUGGAACGUGCAUGUGGCUCAUAUUUAGCACAAAUGCCAUGUAUUCUCUGAUGGCUAUACAGAAGUGCACUGUGAGAAAUCUUGAUGCAAAGCAGAAAGGAUAUGAUGUUAAAUAUUUUCCAUCUCUAGAUAAGCAAGCAGCUUAUAUCAAUGGAGAGAAGGAAUCACAUGCAAUGGAAGGCAGAACACCAGAAAACAGAUGGACAAAUGAACUCAGGCUGCUUAUUGUAGCACAUACCAUACUACUGAAAAUGUACUGUAGGAAGAGGCAUCAGUGAUCCAUAACACAGGGCACAUUCAAAGUUAGACAUGUUGCACACAACAGCGAAUCCACAUUGAAAACUGCUGGAAUUAUAUUUAAUUGGAACAUUCUUAUCUCUUCAUAACUGAAUGGCUGUAUAUCUGUGCAACUUUUGAGAACUGAAAAAGAAAUUUUAAUCAGCUCUCAAAAAUAUGAUAAUAAUUGUAUGUCUGGAAAAGCAUCCUGAAAUGAUCUUUUUGCUUUAGGCUGUGCCUCUGUGGUAAACCAACAGAAAUUUUGAGAAAGAACUAUAGUAUCUUGAAAUUAACUUGUAUUACUGAUUUGCUUUAAAAGUUCUAUAAUAACAACAUAAGAACUCUGAUGCUUUAAGAAGUUUCUAACUACAGCAAGUAAAGAGCCUCCUGCCCAACCCAGGAGGUAGACAUCAUGUCACUCAGCAGCCAUUAAAAAAAAACCAAAAAAAAACCAACAAACAAACAAACAGACAACAAAGUCUGUAUUUAGAAGGGGAUAGAAACUAAUGCUAAAAUAAAAUUAUUAAGCUGUCAUACACAUCAUUACAGCAUUAUAUUGUGGAACACUAGAUUUCAUUUUUUCUGCCCCAUUUCAGACAAACUUAUAGCAGGUAGACUUAAAAUGUAAAGGGCAUGGAUUUUAAUCUAUUUUAAUUAUUUUCCUCUUGUUUUUUGUAUUUUGUUUUAUCUCAACAAACGUCACACAGAAGAGAUUAUUGAGGCUUUCUGCAAGUGACUUCAAAGUUUGAUUGAGAUUGAAUGCAUUAAUAUUUACCAUCAAAAUCUUAAUUUCCAAGGAAAAAGCCUUACAGUGAGAUAGGAAUUCAGCUCCAGGAAACAGGAGCCUUAUAGAAUAGGCAGAGUCAAAGCUGAACUUGUGCAUAUGUAAAUUGUCCCGUAAUUUGUUAUCAUUCACUUCAGGUAUUGUAUCCCUAUUAAGUUGACUGCAUACUUUUCAAUAAUUUAGGCGUCUUUUUGCCAUGUCAGCAUCGUGUAGCCUCCCAUAACUAUAGUAGUAUUAAUGCUAUUUCUAGUCCAUCUGCUUUUCUGUUAAGAAAUUUUAAACAUCACUGUAAAAACUAAAUGAUUGUAUUCCACACUGCACUUUUAUAUUUAAAUAUAUCGGAAUUUUUGGAAGUGAAAGCAGGGAUGUAUUUGGUUGAACUCUGAACUAACAAAUGCUCUUUCCUUCUUCCAGAGCAACAAAUAUCCAUGCCAAAAGUUUGACCAGGGUGCUGAAUCUGCAAUAUGUCAGUCACAGCUUUGCAAUUCAGGAAAUCGUAAACCCUGAGACAGACCCAUAUCUUGUAUAAAUCUACUCUUUUAGGCAAAUUUACCUUGAUUUCCACAAAGCUACAUAAGGAAUUAAUUUGAGAAAUAAUAUUCAGAGCAUAAAAAAGAUUUAAUCUCUCUUUACUAUCUACUAACUUUGGAAAAUGUCCUAUGUUGUGAGAUUGCAUGUUGCAUUCAAUUUUAAGGGUACUGAAGGGAACUAGCCUUUUAAUUAAACUUCUGGUAAAGAGAAGGAUGUGGUCAAGUUAGAACUAGAAGAAUGAUACUUCAUGGAAAGCAAAUUGAUUAAUUAUACAGAAAUAGCGAAGCCCUUCUUUACCUUUCCUUAGAAGUCAAACAUACUGCCACCAGAAGUGAUGGCUCAGAUGUGGAGAGAUGGUUCUUUCCUUCAGUUAUGAAUAAUGUGGUAAGAUAUGGCAACAGAUUGCAAAGGUAAGAGAAGGAAGACAUACCAGUUUUGAUUUGGGAAUCAACCAUGGGUUCAGUCAUUGUUCUUAAUUAAAUUCCUUGUAUUUUCUGAAUGAAUCACAAUUAAUUACUAAGCUUACAGAAGAAUAUUAGAAUUUUUCAAAGAGGUAAACCCUUUCUGCCAUACUGUAGAAUGUUUUAUUUUUUUUACUUCAAAAUGUAUGAAAAAAAUAUAUAUAUAUAUUUCAGUUUCAUCAUAAAAUAAAUUUCUGUCAGAUCAUUCUCCUUGUUUGGACAGUGUCCCAUGGUUUUGAGUCUUCUGACCAAGUACUGAUACUGAUGAUGAGAUUUACGUGGCUAUUUUCACUGAGACUUAAAUGUAUUAUUUUUUGAAAUUUUAUGAUACAACUCAUUUAUGAUCAUUUAUGCUUUCCUUAACUCUUCAGCAAUUUGCAUAGCUUCAGUAACUUUUAACUUUCUUGUUUGAAAAUUUACCACUUAGUUAAUCCAAAAUGCUUGUUAGGUUGCUGCAGCAUGAGGUUUUAAGGGAUUUUUUAAUCUGUCUUGAAGUAAAAUAAAUGUAAAUGGAAUAUGGAGAAAUUCCCAGGUCGAAUUCUUAGAUUCAGUUUACCUGAAUCUUUAGAAGGAUCUUAUUUCUGCUUCUGAUUUUAUCUGUUAUGUUAAGUACUCAGCUUUCAAGAGCAUUUUGCACCAGCCAAGCUGUUACUCAGGUUGUUGUGACUAUGCAGGUAUGACUAAGUGUGAACUAGGUAGCAGAGGCUUCUAUAUUAAGUUCUGGCCUCACAUACUUCACCUUUACAAAGUCUGACUGACAGUUCUUAGGGUACUCUACUAAUCAGAGAACACUACUAUUAAUGUGAUGUUCUGUCAGUGAACUGUGUCCUUCUAACUCAAAUUCAGUUCCAGCAGUGUAUGCCUUUGGCUUGCAGACUGGUCUUGUGUAACUUCACUGUACAGCCAUUAUAUUACAAGAAUUUAAGGUGUUCCCCAAAGUGUAUACAAAGUCUGAGGCCUCAGCAGCUCAAAUAAACACAUCAAAAGGUUUCAUUUUAAUCUUUCAGGAGCUGCAGACAGACCCAACCCUCUCUGAGUUUAAUUUUUUCUGUCUUCAGACUUGUUAUCGUAAUCUUUUACAACAUGAAGAGGAAUAUUAAAUUUAAUUAAAUUUAAUGUAUUAAUGCAUUGUAAUCCUCCUAUGACAUUCACUACAGGAAUGUUUUGUAUCAUUAUUUGCUUUCCAAAUUUUUUUUUAAUCUGGUUAAUGAGGGAGGAAGUAAAUGUAUAACGUGCACUAAAGGGAAAACAAAAAUGGUGGUCUGUAUAUGAAGGAAAUUACAGAGAAAAAUGUCAAAUUAGAAGUCAAUAAAAUUUUUAAAACAACAAAAAAGUGGAAAUUGGGAGAAAGAAGCUUACACAAAGUUAAAGAAAAAGUAGAAUGAGGAAGAGAAAAAUGGUAUCUAUGCACUUUUGCACAAUGCAUGCAUUUUGGGGAUAUCUCUUAAUAUGUAUAUUUCUGGUAUGUUACAAAUAGACUACUUGAGAGAACAGUUGUGUUGUAUGUACGUUAUCCCCUAUUAUCCGUCUCUAAAACUCUCUAAUACUAAAUAGAAAACUAUUAUGCUUUGUUGUAAUUUUUUUUUUUUUCCUCAAAGAUUAUUUUCUCCUUCUUGCUUGGAAUUGGUUCCUAUGUUAAUCAUUUCAGAAACCCAGUAAAAUUUUUGUCAUUCCUUGUGUUUUGUGUAGGUGAUUUAGGUGAUUCGUGCUUGCAGUUUGUUGAGUGAAGCUUAUUCCCUGCCAGUUAUUUUUUACUGUAUGCUUUAUGAUAUUCUACUAUUUAUGAACUGUCAUUUUCAACUUCACAUUUUCAAGAGCACAGAUGUUAUGAGUGAUGCCUUGCACUGUGUUUUCUUAAGAGAAAUAUCUUUUCUAACAUCUACUAGAAGACUUCUGCCAUCUCUUUUAGCUAAGAAUACAAUUUUACAAUAAAUCAUUUAGAAAGUCAGAACUUUACCACAUACUUGCUUCCUAAUCAUCUUAGAAGGCUAGUCAUACCUCUAUCUCCAUAAUUUUUCAGAAUAUGUGAAUAAAUACAAAGAGGUGUGAAAAUCCUCAGUGUGCUGUUACCCACAUUGCUGGUGUUAUUAUUAUUUAUUUACAGGCCAGUGGAUAAAAUAAGUUUAAGAUUUGACCCAUAGGAGACAACUUGUUUGACUUUGUUCUUGUGAAGGAAAAUGCUCCGCUGUGGUUGUAGCUGUUUAUUCUAUGUUGCUACCACAUUUUCCAUUUUUUUACAAGACUAAAAAGUAUUUUACUCCUAAAUUCUAAAUUGGAAUUGUAGGCAGGAGAGGUUAGAACAAAUGUGAUGAAUAUAUGCAUUUCUUAGUGAAUGUCCAAGCUGUAUCUCUGCAAUACUUGGGAUUUUUUGGUCAUCCAAAAUGCAUUCUUAAAUAUUUGUUUGGUCUGAAUCAGUAAAGGUACUUCCAAAUUUUUAAAAUGGUAAGAGAUCUCAUUCCAGUUAUCAGAAAGUCUUUCAAGUUGCUUGAGAGAACAUUUACAAAUUAUUUUUUUCUAAAAAUAUUCUUAGGGAUGGAUAGAAACUGCAAUUGUGUUCCAGAGUUGGCUAGGGUAACCUAGAAUGUUGAAUGUGCUGUCAUUAUUGAUGCUUCUCUGUGAGGUUAUGAGGUAGCUGUGAAGGUCUGCAGAGCCAUACAGAGCAGUAGAUGUAUAGAAAGCUAUGAUGACAACUCAGAACACAAAUAUUUCAUACAACUAAGUUUGUAGUGGGGAAAGAGCCUACGUGAUUGGAAAACAUCAAAUGAAUGGACCACUGGGCAAGUACUGCCAAGUUGCCGUUUCUCAAAAACACAACUCCAUAUGUGUCAUAUGCAGGUGUAAACUAUACUUUGUGGUCAAAUUUCCAGUGCCUAUUUCCAAAUGUUACCUGUAUUAGAACUAAAGACUUUAGUCAUGUAGCACUUCAAAAUGUCUAGUGACUUAGAUAUGGUCUUUAUGGUGCUCUGAAUGGGGGGUUUUAUUUCUUUCAUGGAUUUUUUAUUUGGGAACAGACCUAAAAUGGAGAUAUUUCUAACACAUUGCUGCUGUUAGUGCUUUAAAUUAAUCCCAUGAUGAGACUUUCCAGAUGUCCUAAACACUAGUGUUCUCAUUUUUACUACUUAUUUCUGAAAAAAGGCUAUAACACUUCAGAGACUUAGUUAAGAUCUAGCUUAAUAAAGAUCCAUCUCUUUAUACAAGCUUUGCUUAAAAAAGCACUCAAACACAGAGCCAUACUAAAAUUCUUCAAAAUUUUCUUAUGCUGUCUAAAACUCCUGACUUCAUUGGAGCAUCCAUACUUAUGAAAGAUGUGAACUGCGAUGAGAGCUUUGUGAUUACACAGAGGUCACUCUGAAAGUCAUGCCCCUAUUAAUUUCCAUGGCAACUACAAAGGAUACAAAGAGUGCAAUAACAGUGUUUGAUAGAACAAAUUCUCAGCUAUAAAACACUAUUUUUUCAACAGUCACCACCUUUAGCUGUGCGUUUUUGCCAGUGAUGAACAAGAGCCUGCGUGCAGCACUCGUAAAAAUCCACACCAGUGGAGGUGACCCACAGUUUCACAGCUGCUUUGACUGUGUCUUUGCUAGGAAAAUGUUGCCUAUGCAGACUAUCUUUCAUCAUCUUGAAUAAAAGGAGUUUAGAAGGCACCAAAUCCAUACUCUUUUUUGGGUGUGGUAGGACAGUCCAGAUGAGGUUUGACCAAGAUAUAACUUUGAAGCUUCUUAGAUGGAAUUUUUUUCAAAUGUUUCAUGCUUCAUGGUGGAAAUCACAAAGUAUACUUUAUCCAUGAAGAUUUAUUCUGCUUUCUGUUGCAGAUUGAGAAAAGUGAUUAGAGGCAACAUCAUGAAGAAGGCAAAAGGAAAACAAAACAAAACACACACACACACACAAAAUGAAAAAAAAAGCAGAGGAAUGAGAACAGAGUAGGAAAAAAUGAAGAGCACUUGCUCCAAGAGAGAGAUCCGAGCUGUUAGAGUGAUGGUGAGAGGCUUGAGAGAUUUGAGCUUUUUGUUUAAGUACUAAUGAAAAUACUCUUUUUACCAAAGGAAAAGUAAUUAGACAAGAGAAAGCAGAAAUAAUUUUUUUUUUUAAGCACAAAAAAUUAUUUUUUGUGCUUAGAAGCCACAAAAAAUAAUAGUGGGAUGUAAGGCUAGAAGUUGUUUUUGCAAUGAGAACUGAAUUUGCAGUAUUAGCAGCUACUCUGAAAUCUUAACUCUGACCACUUUAACUGGCAUCAGGGGAUGUUAGAUAGUGUCUGCAGCUUAAAGGUCACGCAGUCAUGACAAGCAUGUAAAAAAGUUUAAGAAAUACUGUAUAAUGUGAUAAGCAAUCUUCUUUAGUGGCUUUUUCAGAGAUUGCAGAGGAGAAAGCAACUGCUCAUUAAUUGUGGUUGGUAAGAUUCAUAUUAAUGCAAUAGUGUAUAAUUAUACAUCCCUAUAAAUAUAUACCAAAGGAAUUGUUGGUGAGUUUUCUGUGCUUUGGUACUUACGUGAAGAAAAGCUCUACUUUGAUACAUGUGCAGUGAGACUUAUGGUUGCCAUGGGAACUGUUACUCUACAUUUUGUGAGAACGUGCUUAUUAUUAAUGUUGUACUCAUACAGAGAUUUUAACACAGGCUUUUUUUGUUCAUUUUUUUUUUGUUGUUGUUGUUGGGCUGGUUGUGUGUAUUCCUGCCCAGAUAAAAAAACAGCUUAGAACGAAUGAGUGAUUUCAUUAUUAGAUGUUUAUGUGAUCCAGAAUGACAAAGAAAAUUGCGUUCUGUGAAGGCAGGGGUAGAAAGGAGAGCCAUUGAGGCUUUAUCUCAUUUAUUCUCCAAGCAGGGAAGAGUAGUUUGCAGUUAGGACAGGAAGACAAUGUCUGUUUACUUCGAUAAACCUUAUUGGAAAGUUAAAUUUUAAUACAGUGGUUUUCCGGACUAUCUUGAGAACAAAUGGAAUUAUGAUUUUAUUAGAGAGCUUAGAUACCAUUUAAUUUUCCCAUCUUAUUUUCACAAGCUCUUGGACAGACCUUAAACAGAAAAUCCGUUUCAAGUAAAUGGAUUACAGUGCUCAGUUUUCAGGAAAACCGUAGAGACUUAAAAGGAGAAUGGUCAAGAGACUCACAAUUUUGUACUUGUUGGAGGAUAAUGACAGUUAUGAAUGAGUUAUUCUAAAGGGACAGAAAUCUUUUGUAGAAAUGAUUCUGAUAAUUGUCUGAAGUGUAAUUUGCUUAGCUUACUGAGAGCACUCUUAAAAUUAAUCAUUGUGGUCCAAAUAUACUCCAUGAAUUGAUACAGUUAGUUUUCUAAUAAAACUUCUAUUGUUUAUAAAUAACAAAAAUCUUACCAAUGCUUUCUCAAAAGUACAUUUUCUGAACUAUUUUAUGUGUUCGUGUAUUUUCAGUUUGUUUAGUUGUGUACAGUAGCCGACAAACAGGUUCUGGACCAUGGCUAUUAACAAUUUUGAGUGAGAGAAAUAUCUGUGUGUGUGCAUAUAUAUGCAUAUGAAAUAAUUGAUAAUAUUAUCAAUUAGUCACUUAGACUUCUGGGAAGGUAGACUAUAGAAUCAUAUAAUCAUUUGAGUUGGAAGAGACCUUUAAAGGUCAUCUGGUCCAACUCCCCUGCAAUGAACAGGGUCAUCUACAGCUAGAUCAGAUUGCUCAGAGCCUGAUCCAGGCUGACCUUAAAUGUCCCUAGGAAUGUAGUAUCCACCACAUCUCUCUGGGCAACCUGUUCCAGUACUUCACUACCACUGUCAUGGAAAAACAGCAUUUUUUCCUUAUAUCCAAUCUCCCUCUCUUCUCUUUAGUUCGAACAUACUUUAGUUUGAACAAUAUACUUUGCUAAAGAGUCUAUCUUCUUCUUCCUUAUAGCCCUGCUUUAGAUACUGAAAGGCUGUUAUCAGGUCUCCCUGGAGCCUUCUCUUCUUGAGGCUGAACAUCCCCAGCUCUCUCAGUCUGUCCUUGUAGGAUAGGUGUUCCAUCCCUUGGAUCAUUUUUGUGGCCUCCUCUGGACGUAAUCCAACAAGGUGCUGUCUUUCCUGUUGUCCUGGUUUUAUCAGUAUUCCAUAUUAUGACAUCAUCUGAUAGGCUGUUCGGUGCAGAAGUACAAUGCACUGCAAAGCUGUACUUCCUUGUCCUGUGCUCUCUUGUACUCUCAUGUGAAUUCUGACUCUCUUAGAGGAGUCUCUUUAUUUGUAGAUGUAGCCUUGAUACUGGGGAAAGGCUUUUCUGGUUUUGGUUUUAUUUGUUCCUCUAAUGUAACUUUGAUAAUUUCUUUAACAGCAUAGGGCAGUAAUAUGUUAAGGCAAUUCUUCCAAGUAUUCUACUAGGCAGCUAUUGCUGAAUACCUUGAUUUAAUUCAAUAAGUAGCAAAGAAGGUGCCAUUUCUAUUCUGAUAACUAGACAGCAAGAGAAUUGGUCCUCUUGAACUUAAUUAUUACAGAUGAAGGUCUUGCUUCUCUUGACUUCCUCUUCUGCCUAGAUUUUGGUCUUUGCUGAUUAUUAUUAUCUUACUAGACCAUAUAUUUAUUAGCAGAUCUGGAAGGCAUUACUAUGAGAAAUGUUUUCUGACUUUUCAGAACAAAAUCCUACAGUGGCACAGUACUGCUUGAAUGAGUCCUGACUGCACUUCCCGAAGAGAGGAAAGGUAAAGCUGCAGGGAGAUGUACUGUAUUGCUCUUUAAAGCACAGCUAGCAUUAGUCUUCUGAAUCUGUUUAAGCUGCUACUUCAGGACUGAAAAGCCAAAGAAACUUAUUCUCAGUGGAAAUUUUUCUGGAAAGUGAUGAAAGUAUUAAGAAUAUAGAAAUAACAAGCUAAAAUGGCACAUAUGUGAGACUAGCAAAAUGAGAUCAUAAUUAGUUUCUGUGAAAGGUUAUCUUAUUUAGAAAAAUAAGUCUCUAGCCUGAAUCUCAAGCACAUAAGAUGUCAAUAGUAUUGCACACCUGGCUGAGCCUAGUGCACUUUUCCAUGCCAAGGCCUAGUAAAUUUUCUUUAAGAAAUAUUGGUGUGAUAUUAUGAAGUGAUAAAAAAUCAAUGAGGCAAUGAUUUUCCAGUCAGAUGGAAUGCUUUGUUGUUAAAUUAAUUCUUUCACUUGAGGCUGCAAGGGCUGAAAAAAGUUGGAAAGUAUUGCUGGGUGACUUGAUGGAGAUUUAGUUGCUAUAUUAUUGCAGAGAAGCCUAAAAUGAAUAUUCAGAUUAUGUUUUUGACUACGGGAGUGCACCUGUAAUUAUUCCCUUCGCCACUCAUGAUAGACAUCAUUGAUUAAAUUCCAGAUGCUAUUGACUGUAGUGGUGGAGUUGAAAUUAUUCUUUUUUUGAGAUUCUGCAUUUACAUUGUGCAUUUCAAAGUGGUGGUAGUGGUGAUGGGAGAGAGGAGUACCUAUUUAAUUAUUUAUUUCUUUUUGUUGGUUUUUUAUUUUGUUUGUGUUUGAACAAACAGAGAUGAAGAAUGUGUUCAAUAUUAAGAGAACCUUCCUCUGAAUAAGUACAGUUUUAUUUCUGGCAAGCUGAAAUAUGAGAUGCAGAUUUAGGAACUGAAGUAAAAGUAUGUCUGUUUGCAAUGAAAGACUUAAGUUAUUAAGUUAUAACUUUUUAUUUUUCUGGUGAGAUGAUUAAAACUGAACUGAAAGACAGACCAAAAUCCCUGUUUUCCAUGUUGCAUGUGUGAUUUGCUACCAGUUAUGGCACUCAUAAAACUGAUUUAAACUAUGAAAAUGUCAUUAAAAUGCUGUUCUAAAAGUUUCAGAAAUUGAACAAUCUAAAUAGUAUUGGCUUUUAUAAAAGGAGAGAGAAUUAACAGCUUUAAAGGCUUUGUCAUAAAAGUGAAUUGGAAGUCAAGUGAAAAUGAAGCCUGUCUAUGUCAUUCUGGAAACAAAAGAGAAAGCAUUUGAAUUUGACUGAAAAAGUAAUAGUAAAAAUAUUUUGUUUUCAGUUGAAAAUAGUGAACAUAUUUAAAAUCAUUCUCCCUAUUAAGUAACUGAUGUGAAAGUCAGAUAUGUCAACAACUUAAUCUUGGUGGCAAAGUAUAUUUGAAAUGGAAGUAGUCUCUUUAGAUAAGUUAAAACUGAUCCAGCCUCCUCUUAUGAAUCUAUAUUCACAGAUCUGGAGUAAUUUGCAGGGCACAAGACACUUCCUGUGUCUUGUCCAUUACCAAUUUAAUGCAACAGACAAAAAAAAAAAAAGUAUUGCAGGAUACAUACUCUUGCAUGUGUACAGAUAAGGAGAAGACAAUAAUGAAGCCUAGGUGAUCACAGCCACUUCAAAUUGCUUAUGAAACCCGUUGUUCUUUUUUCUAUAGUUAGGCAUUUUAAGCAUUCAGAGUGAUGAAUGGGAGAAGGCUGACAUUUUGAGAAGACUGAAUAUUGGUGUCUCAUGUUUGGUGUGAGUUCUCUUUCUACUGAGUUGUUAGGUAUUUUGAAGGAAGCAGAAUGGCAUUCCUUUCUUUUUUAGAUAGAAAAUUGUUUAAGCUCAUGACCCUAACAGAGAGUUAUGAUCUUUCUGAACCUGAAAUUCUCUGCAUCCGUCCCUACCCCAGUGCUGGAGCUCAGAUUUUACUGAUGAUUUAUUAAACUUGUCUUGAGAGUAAGGAUAUUGAAAUAGGGUUUAAAUGUCUACAUUUCUUCAUUAACAUGGCCUAGGUGAAAUUAGAUUUUAUUUUCCAUAUUUCAAUUUUGGCUGCCAUAGGCAGUGUCAUUCAAGAAAUGGUGUUACCAGUUUUUAUCGAGAUAGUUAAUGAGGAAGAAUAGUUCUUUUCUGGCUUCUGCUGCUUUAUCCAAAUAGGAAACUGUGGUUUGGGAAACAGAAGGUAACAGGAGGAGAAUAAAAAAAAGAUGGAAAAUGUUGUUGUUGUUAUUAUUUUUUAAGAAAAACAUCAAAAAUCUGCAUCACUGAUAAGCUUCCCAUGUUUUCACCAAAGGCUGUGCAUAACUGCAUGAGGCUAAAAGACAGGAACAACUUUUCAUCAAGGAUCUACCUUGUUUGGGCUUAUAAAAGUGACUGAGGUACAAUAUGCAAACUCCUAAUUUUAACGUUCUGUGUUUAAAUGUGCUCAUGUAUAAUGAUAUAGCAGUCUCUUUGCAGUAACACAGCUGAAUGGUUUUCUGUUCAAUUGAAUCAUUUGCUAGAGGCGAUGUUGGGGUUAACAACUGUUAAGUAAGGAGUUUGUGAGGAAGUGUUCAGGUAGUUCUCACUUAUACCAGAGGGAAAUUUCCAUUGCUUUGUGGUAUGAGUGCUCAACCUCAGUGCUUUUCCUGGUAUUAUAUAACUGGAAAUUAUCAGAUAUGUAUGUCAAACACCUAACUGUAAACUUGGUUUUCAGUUGUUUUCCUAUUUCUGUAAUUUAGAAAUAACAGUCAGCCUUUUCAGCAACAAAAGAUUUUCUGUCAAAUCACUUUUUGAUAAAAGAACUUCCAAACGUAUCGCUUAUCAGUAAAACUUCAGUGCUGCUGACUCUCAUACAAAAGAAAUGACCCAACAAGCCCAGUUUUAAAAUACUUUACGUUCUGUCUUGCCCUAAGACACAAAACCAGACUUCUCUUUCACAAAACGCAUGGGAUAAUAGCAACAGCAAGGGAAGCUCUGAAGUGCUGGCAGAUCUUCCUGCUUGGGAGGUUGUUAUGUUACAACUUACACAAUGUCAAGUUCAACUUCAGUGUUUCUGAAAUUCAGAGAUAUGUAAAAAUUGAAGUGUGUAUUUCUUUGUGCUUGUAAACCUGAGUGAAGUAAGAUCCAGAUAUUCUCUACUGUCUGAGAAACUCUGGCUCCAAAAUGGUUUGCAAGAUGUUAUUUUGGGGUCUCUGUUGAAGGUUAACAACCAGAGAGAAGCUGCAUAUUUCCAUCUAUCUGUGGCUAUGACAACAAAUCCAAAUUCUGAAAAUCCCCUCAAGAAUGUCUUGAAAAUUGAAAUACUACUUGUAGGUUUGCUACUGUAGCUGUGGUAUGUAAUUUUAAUUCACUCACACAGUGGUCAGAAAGAAAAUCAGAAAAAAAAUGCAGGCAUUUUAGGUAACCGUUCUAUAUAUUAUUUAAAUUAUUUUUCUCAAAUGAAUGCUGAUAUGAUAAAAAAUGAAAUAUGUUAUUAACCAAAUUACACAAUAGACAUUAAAACAAAUAAAUUACUGCUGAAACUUAGUAAUAUUUGUGAGUAUGUUAAACGUGAAAUAAACAGUCUCACUGGCUAGUUAAAGUCUACUGCAAGUUGUAUUUUUAAAAGAUGCUUUAGUAUUCUGAAUCUCCAAAGUGUUUCUAUCACUUCUGGCAGUGUAACUUAUAUAUCACUGUCACCCGGUCUUACAGAAAAAUAGUUCUUCCUGCUAACAGCUGUUACGUGCUGAAGUUCAAGUUGAAAAUAGAGAAGAUAUUCAUUUUGGCAAAGUAGAUUUCUUACUUUGUUAUAUUUACGUGCUCUCUUGGCUGGUUACUUAUUCUGAAAGAAUACUGAGAUGUAUCUUGAUAUUUUUAUAUAUAUUUUAGAUUGUGUAGAUACCUGGAGCUGAACUGAGGAAAGUAUCAUUUAUUUCAGCUGAUCAUUGUGUCAAUUUCCUCUACUUAAUAGGAAAAGAGUGCCUUGUAGGCAAAUGUUACUGGCUACUGCAUUUAAAAGGACGGCUUUUCAGGGAAAAAGACACAUUUCUGAAUCAAUGUAUAUGAUGUUAUGAGGAAACAUGACAAUCUGAGAUCUCAGAUAUGAUCUUUUCUUUGUCCUUAGGAUUAUCAGAACUCCAUUAUAUACUUGGAUUUCAGUUUUGUCACUUUUGAAGAGAUUACAAAUUUCAAGUUGUAUUUAAAUGAGCAUACUGGUUUGACUUAAUCAUAGAAUGACAAAAUGGCUUGGGUUGGAAGGAACCUUAAAGUCCAUCCAGUUUCAAGCCCCUUGCCAUGUGCAGGGCUUCCCAGAAUCCCAUCCAAUCUGGCCUUGAGCACUUCCAGGAAAAGGGCAUCCACAGUUUCUCUGGACAGCUGUGCCAGGGCCUCACUGCUCUCUAAGUAAAGAAUUUCCUCCUAACUUAAAUCUCCCCUUUUUAGUUUAAAACCAUUCCCCCUUGUCCUAUCACUCUCAGAUUGUGACUUGGCAUCAGAGUAUUUGCAUAUGCAAUUAAGAAACUUAAAACAUGUUUUCAUGAUACAAAUCAUGAUGAUUUCUGAAAACGCUCCAAGAGGCUCAUGAAAAACAGAUAUGCUAGUUUAAGAAGAAAACAUAUAUUUGUUUAUUUUUUCAUUCAGACACCAUUGCAUUUAUUUUCCAGCUUUGAACUUGUUUUGAGCCUUUCAAAUUUAGGAUCAUUCAAACUUUCAUUCCAGGAAAUCAAGCCCACGGAGCUACUUCUCCAUGAAAUACUUAAAUAAUAACUUUCCAAAUUGAAGGAUAGAUUAUCAGACAGAAUAAGCCUUGUUCUGCUUCACUGUUAAGAACCAAAGAAUCCUGUACACAUACCAAAAAUCAGGAUAUAUGUACCCUUAGAGCUUUGGUCUACAGUGAACCUCUUAUGUACCCUAAGAGCUUUGGCCUACAGUGAUAAAUGUGUUUCUGGGGGAGAAGGGCAUUUGAAUACUCAAGAAUAAAAUGAAGAUUAAAUCACAAAAGAAAAAAAUAUAAUUUCAAACAAAUUCAACCUAAUGCUAUAGAGAUUUAAUCAAUUUUCAGUGGAAGAUGAGGUCAGAAAGGAAGAAAAAAUGCUAUUCAGAAUUCCUUUUAUUUAACUCUUUCACUAACAUCUGGACAUUACUAACAAAAGGUGUUUCAGAGGCGACUUUAUCAACAAUAAAUAAUCAUUAAAAGGUAACAAACAACACAGUGGUAUUUUACUGAGAUUAAUUAAAUGCCCAAGUAUUCCACUGCUGUUGAAGAGAGUGUCAGUCCCUUGUGGCAAAUUAUUUCAUAAAAAAAUAAUAGAUAAUUUAAAAAUGCUGAAGUUUGAAGAUCAGUUGUUGCAAUAUGUGUAAGCCCAAGCUAUGUUUUUUUUAAAUUGUAUUUAUUUUCUUUUGUUUGUUUCUGUCUUAGGCUAGACCUAGACUUCUGUGUCAAAAUGGGAAUUUUAUUCCUAUAGUAUUGAUUUUUUUUUUUUUUUUUUGGCCACUACAUCCCCUUGUAACCCUACACAGACCUAUUCAGUCCAGCUGUGUUUUUUCCAGGGAUCCAAGGUCUUGCUCUAACACAGCACACUUACAUAACCUGUGCUCAGAUGUCCAAGAAAACUGUGAAGUUAUGAGAAAGAACUGUGAGAAUGUCUGCAAGACAAAAUAAAGUUAAGAUUUCAGGCAGAGGACUGUAGAGACAAGGAUUGUUAGUACCACAAAAAGACAGGAGGAAAAGAGCUAACACAAAAAAAGUCAUAAAAAUUUGAAGUAAAGAAAGUAGAGGGACUAGUUAGAGGUCAUUAGAUAUGGUUGUGAGCCCCUCAGGUCUUUGGUACCAACAGUGGAGGAUAGCAACUAGGCAGCACAUUGAAUGCAAAAGACUUUUGAGUCUUUAAUCAGGGUGGAAAGCAGCCUAGCAUCCCUUAAACUUGAUAUCUUGUGCAUGUGUUCACCAACAAAUAAUUGCUUAUUACUUUUGAGCUGCAUAUAUACUUCUGGUGCAGUCUCUUUGCAUGUGUUUGAAUAAAUUAACACAAAUGAGGGUUUGUAACACAUUCACCUACAGACCCACCCAGAAAGGCUGUCCAAUUAAGUACCUAGGUAUUUAAAGACCAAGUGAAAAUCUUAGAACAGGAAGAAGAAUAAAUAAAGUAAGUAAGUGUGGUAUAUUCAAUGCUUCCUUUUCUUUUGUCUGUGGUGUACAGGUAGGAUAGAACAAAAGGGAUAUAAGUGUUUUGGGGCUGCUGAAAUGCAGUUGUAUUCUGGCUAUUUAUCUGUCCAUUAAUUAAUGUUAAAGAUUUUGGUCUAAAGACAAAGCAUACCAUACCUUAACUGGUGAUUCUCAAUGUAUUUUUGUCUGAUACAAUUUCUGUUGCUAUUGUUUAAAUAGCAAUUGUAACUGAAGUACAUUUAAUUAAUAUUUCCCUGGCAAUUGUAUAAUUUUUCAGUUUAAAAAUUAUUUAAAGUUUUAAUAUUUAUUAAUCCAACUUGAUUUGCGCCAAGGCCUUCCAUAUGAACAGCUUAAAUCUAGUGUUUCAGCAGCUGCUCAGGAGAAGAAGAGUGGCUGUUCUUGAUUUAUUUCCUUGUCUCUUGUUUAAUUUUAUUUACAUUUUGAUUUUGUUUGGGUAGAUUUCUUUUUGUUGUUGUUUUUCUUCUAGUUGAGAAUUCAGUUUAACUAAAAAGAGACUUAUAAAAUAUGUAUCACUGGAAAUCAGGUUUUUCACUUUGAAAUUUAUAUGCUUAGCAUGAGUUCAAUCCACCCUCAUUAUGUCUUUUGGAUAAUAGGUUCUUUCAUGUCCUUCUUCACCCAUCCCCUUCUUUUUUCCUUCUUAUCUCUCCCUAUAAUGUAAUGUCCUCUUUGAAAUUAAAACUUAUGCAGUAGGUUUUUAAAACCUACUUUUCAACACAUCAUUGCUAAAAUGUACAUGACAUUUUAAAGUAUUUGAUUUAUUGAGAGAAAUUAAUCCAGUCAAAACAGGACGGUAAUUCUAUCUUUCUAAAGACUACAGUAAAUUUAUAUGGAAAACAAUAUUUUAUUUACAGCAUGGUGUGUUAAAAUAGUUGGUGUGUAAGACACAGUGAAUGCUCUGGUCAUGACUGUUAUUUUAAAAGACUGAAUUUAAUUUAACCCAUUAGUUUUGUGAGUAUAAGGAAUUACAUUACUGGAAACAGGCAGGUGAUUGGACUAAGACAGUAUCAGGGUAAUAUAUUGUUUGAUCUGUAGAUUCAAGAUUUUGUAUAAAAUAUUGCAGCUCACAAAAAGAAAACUGGAAAGAAAAGAUAGAGAAGAAUGAAAAAAAUACAGAAAUAUCACUGAGCCUUCAUGGAAAAUACACUAGUGCAGAAGUAAUGUUUGGUUUGUUUGAUUGAUUUUGUUUGAUUAGUGAGUUUCUUUGUUGUUCAUUUUUUUUGUUUUGUUUUGUUUGUUUUGUUUAAUUUCAAGUUCAUCUAAGAUCUGUAUUUUGGAAUAGAAUCAAACUGAAGCUGUGACUGCUCAUGGCCAUAAAAGAAUGAAAAUGACUUUUGAUAAUGAGAUGCAGAAGUGUGGAGCCAGUGAAGGGUGUGAGAGGAUGUCAGGGCAAUGAAGGUAAGGAAAGACUGACAUAGGAUAAAGAUUUCAAAUUGAUGUGGUUAUAAAGCUAAUGGCAAGUGAUAAAGUGAUAGUGGCAAAACUGUGGAUGUGAGACAAUGCUGUCAAGUUGGAAGUUUAGAUUGGACAUGAAGAAUUCA